AGGCCCAACCAAACAGAGAUCAACAUCGUUGAUGUUGAUACAUAAUAUGUCUACCCAUGUGUUGUCAAGAAUGGUAUAAUGGAUAGUGAGAAAUAUCUAUGUGGUGGUUGGUAUGACUAUGUUCGUCUAAAUCGUCUUAAGGUGAAUGAUGUUCAGUUGUGUAUUGUUGCAUAUUUCCAUCAAUGCUUGUGUUCUUAUUUUACUAUGACAUCGUUCUAAAUUUCCAUCAA
rnacentral:lncRNA from 1 species